AGUCGAACGGUAGCACAGGGGAGCUUGCUCUCCGGGUGACGAGUGGCGGACGGGUGAGUAAUGUCUGGGGAUCUGCCCGAUGGAGGGGGAUAACUACUGGAAACGGUAGCUAAUACCGCAUAACCUCGAAAGAGCAAAGUGGGGGACCUUCGGGCCUCACACCAUCGGAUGAACCCAGAUGGGAUUAGCUAGUAGGUGGGGUAACGGCUCACCUAGGCGACGAUCCCUAGCUGGUCUGAGAGGAUGACCAGCCACACUGGAACUGAGACACGGUCCAGACUCCUACGGGAGGCAGCAGUGGGGAAUAUUGCACAAUGGGCGCAAGCCUGAUGCAGCCAUGCCGCGUGUAUGAAGAAGGCCUUCGGGUUGUAAAGUACUUUCAGCGGGGAGGAAGGGAUGAAGGUUAAUAACCUUCGUCAUUGACGUUACCCGCAGAAGAAGCACCGGCUAACUCCGUGCCAGCAGCCGCGGUAAUACGGAGGGUGCAAGCGUUAAUCGGAAUUACUGGGCGUAAAGCGCACGCAGGCGGUUUGUUAAGUCAGAUGUGAAAUCCCCGGGCUCAACCUGGGAACUGCAUUUGAAACUGGCAAGCUUGAGUCUCGUAGAGGGGGGUAGAAUUCCAGGUGUAGC
rnacentral:rRNA from 1 species